GGUUUGUGUCCAUUCUACACAGUCCAUGUUUCUAUUAAAGUAGGAAGUGUUUGAGUAGUCUGAGGUGUUAAGACGGUAGAAGAGACACAUCAACAGUUUGUGAUUAAAGCUGUGUACUUUUUUACAAUAUCCCAAACAGAAGAAAGUAACGAAAUAUGGAUUUUUUCAAGUAUUUCAUAACCAUUUGGAUCGUGACUUCAACUUGUAUAACAGGUAUUGCAGAUGUCAGUUCUUGUAACAGUACUCUGUCUACAGAUAAUAAUGCAUUCGGUCUAGGAACAAAUGUUACAUUGAAGUGUGUAGUGUGCCCUGGUUCUUCGGAAAUCAAAUUUAAACACAACGAUAGUGAUAUUGCAGUUCAUUCAUUGGAUACCCAAGUAACUAAUCCUACACUACACGGCGUUGCUGUAAAUGAUCUGGGCAAUGGAUCAAAGGAGAUGAAACUGACAAUAUUAAACUUCACGCAAUCCUCUAAUGGUGUUUAUUCCUGUUCUACAAGCUCAACGGAUGUUGCAUCGCUUAAUAUAGCAUACACAGUAUCGACCACACCAGGAUCCGCAGAUGGUACCUCAACAUCCACCCAAAGUACAAUUGCCACAACCUCAACAUCGACCGAAAGUAGUACUACCAAAACGCUGAGCAUAGGUGGGAUUAUUGGAAUUGUCAUUGGAUGCCUUGCCUUGCACUGGUAUGCAUUGGAGCAAGCAUCUUGAUAUAUCUCAAACAUACAGGCAUACGGAUUAGCAGCCAUCAGAUCAACGGUUAAGAAAAAGAAAGAACCCAUCAACAUUGACGUGUGUUUUCUAAAAACUGAUACACGCAUUUUUAUUAUUACAACACAAUUCAUGCACUCUCCAAAUAUAUCGGUUAAUUAUUUAAGAUAACAACUUCGAUGUUAAGAUCUAAUAAUGAUAUUACAUUAUGCCCAUAAACUAUUGCUACUUGAUUUUGAACUACACUCAUAGAUGUGAGUAGAUACUGACUUUUGAGAAAAAACAUACACUUUCUUUUAUGAUAUAUAUGUUAAAUAGUGUCAAUUAUCUCUACUGGUAUAAGUCGUUUGCUUUGAUAAAUGGUUUCUCAAUAUUAUUCAGAGUGUUAUUAAAUUAUAACAAAAAACUAA